UCUAAUGGAUUACUUCAUAGUCACAAUCUAUGACAGUAUCUUAUCUAACCUUCUUCCCACCCGCCACCAGCAAGUAUGUGGGGACAGACCUGGACAGACACACACACGGGCAUGGCGGCCUCAUCCUACAGGAUUAGUCCCAUAGUAGCAAGUCAGGCCCCAGGGGCAGUGGAGUAGGACAGAGUGGUGCCAUCGGGAGGUGGUGAUGUCACCAGGCAGCAGGUGUCUUGUCUCUGGAUAAGCCCAUGUUGGGACAGACUGUUUCUUCCAGAACGUACCCAAUGUGGGCACUGGCUUACGUUUAGGAGCAACAACUUCUACAAGAUGCCCAGUUACAUGAGAGCGACAUCCAGUGAGAUGUUCACAUAAAGCAUGGCACACACAGCGCCAGGAAAGCAGCCCGCCUUCUAGAGUGGCAGGGGCAGCACGUGCUUCCUGAGUUUAACGGUGGCCCACAGCCCAUCUCAGGACCCAGCACCAGCCCCAACCGUUACGUGGUGCUUGAAUGGCACUCAGAACGCACACUCAGCAUCCAGCGACUCCGGACCCCAAGCUGACCGUUCUCCUUCCUGCCUCAGUAUCUCAGCCCCCUUCAUCUGUACUGUCCAAAGCCUGCUCAAGUGUCAGAAGCUGUCUCCUUCGUCAGAACCAUCCUGUGUGCUUUCUAAGUGAGCAUCUUUAACCUCUAAUGCUGGGCUGAAAAACAACUCAGUGUUUUGGAAAGUAAGCAAUCUGAGGGUGGGGACAUCCACAGGAACCCUGGGGCCCACAAGGAAAACAGAAGACAGACUUAAUCACUGAAUUCUCACUCAAGAAUUCCAGCGGCCAAAUGUCCUUUCUAAUCCCGUGUGCUGCUCUGAGAGAACAUUCUAGCCACUCCUUUGUGUGUGUGAAAACCACUGCAGCAGGUCCUAUUUUGGGCAGAUUUUCCACAUUAAAAGGCACAAUGGUUAAAAUGAUCGUACGAUACACCUCCCACCCACGACACUUUGUUUAAUUCAAACUCAAAUACCAAAGCAGGAGAGUCGACUGUUUACCACACUUGAAUUUAUAAAUGGCCUUCCUGCCCGUCACCCAGGCUGCCCCACCCCCUCCCUUCUUUCGACACAGCUGGGUGGGAAUGCAGUGACCUAAUAUCACUGGACAGAUAAUUCCUUGCCUUGGGGAACGACUGGCAAAGCCCACGGCAUCUGCCAUUUCCAAUCUACUCCUCGGAACAGUAAGUAGGGGCUUGUGCCAGGACGCUCGGGGGGCAGCACAGAAUGCGUGCAACCGUGGCUGGAAGUGAAAAUGUAAAAACCCACCCACGGCCUCGCUGGGAGUCACUGCUCUGCAUUGGAAAACCCGGGUGUUUGAUUCAACUAAAUCAUCUCAAAGCCUGCAUUGGAGAAAAUAAUUGAAUUAAAGAGUUGCUAUAACUCAUUCAAGUGAGAUAAAAACCAUCCAGUGGGAGGCGAGACGGCAAGGCAAAGACACUGCUGCUAGAAUGUGCCGUCUUCUCGAGAUCGCAAGGAGAAAAGCAAUAUAAUGUGGUUCAAAGGACAGAUGGGACUUUCCUAAUUGUCCCCAGAUUCCUAGCAGCAGGGGUGGUAACUAAAUGGUUUCAAUUAAAAGUUAAAGAAACAGAGGAGAGCAGGCGGUAAGUUAUGCCUGGUGCUGAUAAGCCUCAUUCGGAUCAGUCUCAGGGAUGCUUUGUCCCGAUUUCAGACAGCCAAGUGUCAAUGGCACACAAGUGGUGGAGCCAUCCCAACAUGUCACCCUGACAAGGUGACAAAUAAAUCUGUCUGUCAAAUGCACUGUCAUGAACACCCGUGUGAGCGUCAUGGAGCCAAGCACCAGGCAUGUGGCGACGGCUCAGAGCAGGGCCCUUCCAUCUGCAAUCAAGGAGAAAAAGGGACGGACGCAAACACUAGAACACAGCCCAAGGAAGCAAUGAUGAUGUGGGGGUUACACACCUCAGAGAGGACGCUCCACCUCUGACGACGGCUACAGGGUGGUUUCCGUGCCAAGCACGGUGUGGCUCAAGCACAAUGUGACAAGGGCCAUGGAAUCAAUGUCUACCCCUUCACCAGGGGCUCCCAAGCAGGGCAUGUUUUUCACCCUAGGGACACUGGGCCCUAUCUGGCGACAUCUCUGGUCACGCUGGGGUAGGGAGGGAGGUAACACUGGCAUCGGGUGGGGAGAGGCCAGGGAUGCUGUUGAACAUCCUAUGAUGCACAGGACAGCCCCCCACAACGUCAACCAAAAUGUCAACAGUGCCAAAGUAGAAACUCCUGCCUUAAAGGAAUCAUAAGUUGAAGUCUCUGAAGUUCCAAACUAGAAAUGCUGAGAAAUGGCUGGGGCUGAUUACAGGCAUUUUUUUUUUUUUUUAACCAACACAGAACAUAAGCAAUAUCCUGAAAGGGACAAGUAAGUGCAUCAAAAAAGCAGAAUAGACGACAAGCAUGAGGGUGAGCUCCAGCCUCUGAAGAAGCGUAGAGGAAGCAAGUGCGGCAGGGCUGGGUGGCGCUGUCCUGCGGAUGCUGAUUCAGAAGAAGCUGACCCACAGCCGAAUGUGGCUGAGGUGGAGCUGAGAACAUGAGGUCCCCUGGGGAUGACCGCAGCCCCAUCUUUCAGGGUUAAAGAGAAAGAAGACACUGAACUCUGUUGAACCUACCCCAUGGGGAAAAAAAAGUCUCAAAGUUACGAAAAGUGAAAAAGAAAAAAAAGAUGCAAAAUAAUAUAGUGAUAAAAUCUCUGCAUGAUUUGAGACUAUCGCCUCAUGCAUCUAACGCUGACUCAUCAAUACUUCCUACUUCCCAGCUCAGAAGUGGAACAACAUCGCUACUCGACUGAACGGAUGGCUAACGACAACCAAGUAAACCCCCUCCCUGCCAAAACAGUUACUGGACGCUAGAAUGCAGGUUACAGCACGUGGUCAUUUACAGAACUAAAAGGUAUGAAACUCUCUGCUGAGUCAGGUUACCUAGACACAGCUCUAACACAUUCUCUCACCUGAGAUUAUCAUAUACAUUAAGGUUUUUUAAAAAAAAAAGCAAGCUGGCCCAGGUAAGAAAUACAAAAGUCUAUGCGGCAUGAAAUAGCUCAAAGAGACUUGUUUGGUGGAAUUAACUAGUGGUUUAAUGGGGGGGGGGGGGGUGAUGUCUGAUAUGCAAGAGUGCCCCAAUUUCUUCAGAGAAAUUAACAUUUCAAUCCUGUUUUUAUCUAGAAGUCAUUAAACUGUGCAACAUGAAUUACUGGAACUGUAGCAGCGAAUUAACUCUAUUCAUCAACUAAGUCCAAACAUUUUAGAGUGUAUCUGUAAUGAAAAAACAGCUCUACAUUUCUAUCUCUUCUCAUUAAAGUAAACCAGUUUUCCCUCUCUCAGUAUAUAAAACUGUCUUCUCUUCACGUAAUUUAUAUUACCAUAAGCCGGCUCACAUUCUAAACUAUUACAUGCCUCCAAUUAAUUUUUGCAGCUUUUGCCUGAAAAUUUAAUGAGAUAGUAGUGGAUGAACCUGCUGACUCCAGAUUAUGUGUGUGCUCCCAAUAUUAAUGUUGGCACAAUAAAAUAAUCUGAUCCAUACCUGACUCAAGCAUUUCCCCUGGCUGGGGUAUAAAGGGAACAGUUACGAUGGAUGACUAUUUGUCUAAGGCCUCAGUUCUCUACCGUGGAGGAGAAGUCACAAGCCGCACUCCUCAAAGCCAACCCAAGGAACCCCAUGAUGAGUACAGGGUACAAGGAAGCCCAUUCUCUGUCCCGCUGCUACAGGCGCGCCUUAGGUGCCUGCCUCAGGUGGGGUCCACACCAUUCACGAUUUGUUUGUACACGUGUGCGUAUCAGUGUGUCUGUGUCAGAUGUAUGUGUGCACGUGUGAGCAUGUACAUGUGUGUUCAUCUAACAUGUGCCUGAGUUCAGAUGAAUAGGUGAGGCGCAUUGGCGACUCUAAGUCUCAAUGACAGACCCUCUGUAGUUCUUACUUUUUGCCAAAGGGUUGAGGUGCAAGCAGAAGGCAAAAAAGGCUGACAAGGCUGGGAGCAGUGGCUCGCGCCUGUAAUCCCAGCACAGCACCUUGGGAGGCCAAGGCAGGUGGAUCACUUGAGGUCAGGAGUCUGAGAUCAGCCUGGCCAACAUGGUGAAACCCCAUCUCUACUAAAAGUAGCCAGGCGUGGUGGCGGGCGCCUGUAGUCCCAGCUACUAGGGAGGCUGAGGCAGGAGAACUGCUUGAACCCAGGAGGCGGAGAUUGCAGUGAGCCGAGACCGCGCCACUGCACUCCAGUCUGGGCGACAGAGCGAGACUCCGUCUCAAAAACCAAACAAAAAACUCCGACAAUAUCAGUAACAGCAGCAGCAGUCAGUAAUCAAUAUUCAGAAAGUGCCUGCUAUCCCCGUUUUCUUUUUUGCCAAGCACUGAGACGGUCCCAGCCAUCAGUCCACAGGU